rnacentral:rRNA from 1 species
AUGGCUUCGCCGGUGGUGGAGGUGGCGCAGGCCAUCGCCGUGGAGGGGAAGAAGGAAGAGAAGGAGGUGGUGAAGUGGCUGGGGCAUUACUCCUCGGUGCAGAGCAUCCUGGUCGUCGGCGACGGGGACUUCUCCUUCUCGCUGGCGCUCGCCACCGCGUUCGGCUCCGGCGAGAACCUCGUCGCCACGUCCCUCGACUCCUACGGUCCGACCAUUUAUUACCUCUUUCAUUCCAACCUGUCUCUGCUUGAUCUAAUGUUACGUGAUCUUGUUGGCAAUCCUCUUGCAUAUGGACAGGUUAUCUUAGAAUCAUGUACAGCUAUGCGGAGUCGAAUGUAA